GUUGUUCGGAAUUACUGGGCGUAAAGGGCUCGUAGGCGGCCAACUAAGUCAGACGUGAAAUCCCUCGGCUUAACCGGGGAACUGCAUCUGAUACUGGAUGGCUUGAGUUCGGGAGAGGGAUGCGGAAUUCCAGGUGUAGCGGUGAAAUGCGUAGAUAUCUGGAAGAACACCCGUGGCGAAGGCGGCUCUCUGGGACGGUACUGACGCUGAGACGCGAAAGCGUGGGGAGCGAACAGG
rnacentral:rRNA from 1 species